UGUGUAGGCGGUUCUUUAAGUUUGGUGUGAAAUCUCCCGGCUCAACCGGGAGGGUGCGCCGAAUACUGAGGGACUCGAGUGCGGGAGAGGAAAGUGGAAUUCCUGGUGUAGCGGUGAAAUGCGUAGAUAUCAGGAGGAACACCGGUGGUGUAGACGGCUUUCUGGACCGUAACUGACGCUGAGACACGAAAGCGUGGGUAGCAAACAGGAUUAGAUACCCUGGUAGUCCACGCCCUAAACGAUGCAUAUUUGGUGUGGGUCAUUCAGUUGAUCCGUGCCGGAGCUAACGCGUUAAAUAUGCCGCCUGGGGAGUACAGUCGCAAGGCUGAA
rnacentral:rRNA from 1 species